rnacentral:misc_RNA from 1 species
UUCUGCUGUGAAAAUUUACGUUGUUUUUGAAUAGCAAAAUGUACAAUUGGAAUGGAUAUAGCCAUAAUGGCAAAAUUCCCAUCACUCCAGAUUCUGGAAUAUGCCUUUCAAAUAGUUGCAAAACUAGAACAUUUGACACUAGCUCAAAGUUCUCAUUACAAACAAACAAUUCCAAUGGGGAUUCUGCAUGAAGUCAGAAAAGCACUUGGAAGAAAAGAAAAUCAUCUAAUGCCAAUGAAAAAACAAAUAUACAAAGC